rnacentral:pre_miRNA from 1 species
UCUUAUGGAUGAGCAAAGAAAGUGGUUUCCUGAGAUGGUAUCUACUCCUCGUGAAGGUGUUAUGAA